AGAGCUCCCAACAUACAACAUGUUUGUAGAAGGCACUGGUCUUCAAGAUGUUAUGGGGACUGAAGGAGUGGAUGGACGCAAAACAACAUGUAAUCAUGUAAUGGAAGUUCAUAAAUACCUCGGAAUCGAGGCUUCAAGAAAAUGUAUUAUUGAUGAGAUAAAAAAUGUUAUGGAAGGUCAUGGAAUGAGCAUUGACAUACGCCAUAUGAUGCUUUUAGCAGAUCUAAUGACAUUUAAGGGCGAAGUUCUUGGAAUCAAUAGAUUUGGCAUUCAGAAGAUGGAAAAAAGUGUAUUGAUGUUGGCUUCAUUUGAAAAAACAGCAGAUCACCUUUUCCAUGCUGCUGUAAAUGGUAGGGAUGACGGGAUUGAGGGAGUUAGUGAAUGUAUCAUAAUGGGCAUCCCUAUGCAGCUAGGCACUGGAAUACU
rnacentral:misc_RNA from 1 species